rnacentral:rRNA from 1 species
GCCUAUAACCAAAUAACCUUGAAUGCAGCUGAUCUUUUCAGAUCUAGGAAGCUAAGCUAGUUUCAGCCUGGAUAGCACGUAUUUGGAUGAGUGACCAUCAUAUAUGACAGCUGUUAUAGCCU